rnacentral:rRNA from 1 species
UACGGGGGGAGCAAGCGUUGUUCGGAUUUACUGGGCGUAAAGGGCGCGUAGGCGGCCACCGCAAGUCGACUGUGAAAUCUCCGGGCUUAACCCGGAAAGGUCAGCCGAUACUGCGGGGCUAGAGUGCAGAAGGGGCAACUGGAAUUCUCGGUGUAGCGGUGAAAUGCGUUGAUAAUCAGGAGGAACACCCAUGGCGAAGGCAGCUAACGUGGGCAUUAUCUGACGCUGAGGCGACGAAAGCGUGGGUAGCAAACGG